GUCACUUACAGAUGGGCCCGCGGCGCAUUAGCUAGUUGGUGAGGUAACGGCUCACCAAGGCCACGAUGCGUAGCCGACCUGAGAGGGUGAUCGGCCACACUGGGACUGAGACACGGCCCAGACUCCUACGGGAGGCAGCAGUAGGGAAUCUUCCGCAAUGGACGAAAGUCUGACGGAGCAACGCCGCGUGAGUGAUGAAGGUUUUCGGAUCGUAAAACUCUGUUGUUAGGGAAGAACAAGUAUCGGAGUAACUGCCGGUACCUUGACGGUACCUAACCAGAAAGCCACGGCUAACUACGUGCCAGCAGCCGCGGUAAUACGUAGGUGGCAAGCGUUGUCCGGAAUUAUUGGGCGUAAAGCGCGCGCAGGUGGUUCCUUAAGUCUGAUGUGAAAGCCCACGGCUCAACCGUGGAGGGUCAUUGGAAACUGGGGAACUUGAGUGCAGAAGAGGAAAGUGGAAUUCCAAGUGUAGCGGUGAAAUGCGUAGAGAUUUGGAGGAACACCAGUGGCGAAGGCGACUUUCUGGUCUGUAACUGACACUGAGCGCGAA
rnacentral:rRNA from 1 species